GACGAACGCUGGCGGCGUGCUUAACACAUGCAAGUCGAACGGAAAGGCCCUGCUUUUGUGGGAUGCUCGAGUGGCGAACGGGUGAGUAACACGUGAGUAACCUGCCCUUGACUUUGGGAUAACUUCAGGAAACUGGGGCUAAUACCGGAUAGGAGCUCCUGCUGCAUGGUGGGGGUUGGAAAGUUUCGGCGGUUGGGGAUGGACUCGCGGCUUAUCAGCUUGUUGGUGGGGUAGUGGCUUACCAAGGCUUUGACGGGUAGCCGGCCUGAGAGGGUGACCGGCCACAUUGGGACUGAGAUACGGCCCAGACUCCUACGGGAGGCAGCAGUGGGGAAUAUUGCACGAUGGGCGGAAGCCUGAUGCAGCAACGCCGCGUGCGGGAUGACGGCCUUCGGGUUGUAAACCGCUUUCGCCUGUGACGAAGCGUGAGUGACGGUAAUGGGUAAAGAAGCACCGGCUAACUACGUG
rnacentral:rRNA from 1 species